CCUACGGGAGGCUGCAGUAACGAAUAUUCCGCAAUGGGCGAAAGCCUGACGGAGCAAUACCGCGUGCAGGAUGAAGCCCCUCGGGGUGUAAACUGCUGUCAGGGGCCACCAACUCAAUGAGGAGCCCCAGAGGAAGAGACGGCUAACUCUGUGCCAGCAGCCGCGGUAAUACAGAGGUCUCAAGCGUUAAUCGGAAUCACUGGGCUUAAAGGGUGCGCAGGCGGACCCGCAAGUGCUUUGUGAAAUCCCACGGCUCAACCGUGGAAUAGCUUGGCAUACUGCAGGUCUUGAGCCCGACAGAGGUCGUCGGAACGCUAGGUGGAGCGGUGAAAUGCGUAGAUAUCUAGCGGAACGCCAAAGGUGAAGACAGACGACUGGGUCGGCGCUGACGCUCAGGCACGAAAGUGUGGGGAGCAAACGGGAUUAGAUACCCUGGUAGU
rnacentral:rRNA from 1 species